rnacentral:rRNA from 1 species
GAUGAACGCUGGCGGCGUGCCUAAUACAUGCAAGUCGAGCGAACAGACGAGGAGCUUGCUCCUCUGACGUUAGCGGCGGACGGGUGAGUAACACGUGGAUAACCUACCUAUAAGACUGGGAUAACUUCGGGAAACCGGAGCUAAUACCGGAUAAUAUAUUGAACCGCAUGGUUCAAUAGUGAAAGACGGUUUUGCUGUCACUUAUAGAUGGAUCCGCGCCGGAUUAGCUAGUUGGUAAGGUAACGGCUUACCAAGGCAACGAUGCGUAGCCGACCUGAGAGGGUGAUCGGCCACACUGGAACUGAGACACGGUCCAGACUCCUACGGGAGGCAGCAGUAGGGAAUCUUCCGCAAUGGGCGAAAGCCUGACGGAGCAACGCCGCGUGAGUGAUGAAGGUCUUCGGAUCGUAAAACUCUGUUAUUAGGGAAGAAAAAAUGUGUAAGUAACUAUGCACGUCUUGACGGUACCUAAUCAGAAAGCCACGGCUAACUACGUG